AUUGAACGCUGGCGGCAGGCCUAACACAUGCAAGUCGAGCGAGCGGCGGACGGGUGAGUAAUGUAUGGGGACUGCCCGAUAGAGGGGGAUAACUACUGGAAACGGUGGCUAAUACCGCAUACUAUCGGAUAACCCAUAUGGGAUUAGCUAGUAGGUGGGGUAAAGGCUCACCUAGGCGACGAUCUCUAGCUGGUCUGAGAGGAUGAUCAGCCAAACUGGGACUGAGAAGCGGCCCAGCAUCCUGCGGAGGCAGCAGGGGGGAAUAUGGCAAAAGGGGCGCAAGCCUGAUGAAGCCAUGCCGGGUGUAUGAAGAAGGCCUGCGGGUUGUAAAGUACUUUCAGCGAGGAGGCGUUACGCGCAGAAGAAGCACCGGCUAACUCCGGGCCAGCAGCCGCGGUAAUUA
rnacentral:rRNA from 1 species